rnacentral:misc_RNA from 1 species
GUGAAUCAUCGAAUUUUUGAACGCAAAUUGCACUCUCUUCGGAGAUUAUGGCUGUUUGAGGGUCAGUAUUAAUAAAAAUCGGUGUGUUGCUUCUUUGUUACGAUUCGGAGUUAGGGUCAUCUUAAUAUCCUUUAGGUUUUAAGAGGCUUAAAAUUGACUUUUUUUGCGAUUUUUCGAUUUACAUAAAUUCUUUUUUGUAUUCGUCUGUCUUA